rnacentral:rRNA from 1 species
AGAGUUUGAUCAUGGCUCAGAGCGAACGCUAGCGGCGGGCUUAACACAUGCAAGUCGAACGCUUCCGGACUUCGGUCCAUAUGGAAGAGUGGCGAACGGGUGAGUAACACGUAGGUAACGUGCCCUUUGGCGGGGGAUAACCGCGGGAAACCGUGGCUAAUACCGCAUAUCGCGUAUCAGUCGCAAGUCAGAUACGUGAAAGACUUCGGUCACCAAGGGAGCGGCCUGCGGCCCAUUAUUUAAUCCUAGUUGGUAAGGUAACGGCUUACCAAGGGUACGAUGGGUAGCUGGUCUGAGAGGAUGAUCAGCCACACUGGGACUGAGACACGGCCCAGACUCCUACGGGAGGCAGCAGUGGGGAAUAUUGCGCAAUGGACGAAAGUCUGACGCAGCCACGCCGCGUGUGUGAUGAAGGCCUUCGGGUUGUAAAGCACUGUCGGGAGGGACGAAGGUAGUUUACUACUUGACGGUACCUCGCAAGAAAGCACCGGCUAACUCCGUGCCAGCAGCCGCGGUAAUACGGAGGGUGCAAGCGUUGCUCGGAAUCACUGGGCGUAAAGCGAGCGCAGGCGGCUAGAUAAGUCAGGUGUGAAAGCCCGGGGCUCAACCCCGGAACUGCAUCUGAAACUGUCUGGCUAGAGUACAGAAGAGGAAGGGGGAAUUCCAGGUGUAGAGGUGAA